GCCUAUUGGCCAAACUAUUAUAUUAAUUGUACUUUUACACCGAAGAUACCAGGUAAGGAAGCUGAUGUAGUUGAGAAAAUGAUGAUUGCAUACCAGAUCUGAGCUUCAAAAUAGACGCCUCCUUCUUUAUCAGAUUUGGUUCUUCUAACUAGUAUCAUGAUGGAUUUCACAGAGAUCAAUUGUUAUUGAAUGAAUCUUCUAGAUCUGUGCCUGAAGAAAAACAAAAACAAAAACAAAAUUAUGGGAACUGAUAUUCAGGAAAACCCUAACCCUAACGAUUUUUUUAAAAAAAGAGCAUGACAUCCCCAAUGUUUUUGGAGGCAUAAACUUAUGAGCUUUUUUUAACAUAAUUUUACUUGUUUUAUCCAAAUGAAAAAUUAAAGCAGAUGAGUGACAGAAUUAAAGAGAAAGAGAUGAAGAAAGUUGAUAAUUAACAAAACCUAAUUUCGUGUACUUAAAUGUCACUGUGCUGCAGCAACUCAAACCAAAAUCAGUAGACUGACGACAUUUGAUAUAUAUAUAUAGAGGAUGAAGGGAGUCUUGUCACCGGGAGAUGGCGCUUACGGCGUUAUUUAUGCACAACUUAGUUAAUGCAAUUAAGAGGUAGUAGGUGCUAUCUCUCCGGCGACAAGAAUCCCUGUAGCCCCCCUCUCUCUCCUGCUCCCUUGCCGCAAGC
rnacentral:lncRNA from 1 species